CAAAUGUUGUGGGUCUUCCCUGAGAACAAUCCUGUCGACAAAUAUCCACAUUGGCAAGAAUCUGCAUGAGCCACUUGGAGAUCUGUAGAUGUAGAUGGAGGACAUGUAGGUUAGCUUUCUGUCAUCAGCCUCCAGAAGAGUGGAGGAUGAGACUUGUUCCAAAUGGUUCAAGGUCCGCAAGGAGGUCAAGCCCAAUGGCUGUAGGAAGAUGUAGGGCUGGGUCAUGUUCAGACUCGAAGCAAGAAAGAAGGACCUCAGAGCUCCCUUCUCUGCAGGAUGAAGAUGUAAAUGCUGGAUCCUACUGAUUCAUAUCCAAGUCAAUUAUGGCCAACAAGUCUUGGAUUCUUGUGAAAAUUCUUGUGUCAGAAACCUCAUGGUGUUCCCCCACGUAACAUUUUUUUUGUUGUUUUUCUAUACUCGACAUGUGCAUUAUCUUCUUCGACAUUCAAAGAUCAGAUCCUGAGAGUACAAAACUUUUCAGUAUUA